GUGUCAGCCGCCGCGGUAAUACGGAGGGUGCAAGCGUUGUUCGGAAUUAUUGGGCGUAAAGCGCGUGUAGGCGGCUCGUUAAGUCUGAUGUGAAAGCCCUGGGCUUAACCUGGGAAGUGCAUUGGAAACUGGCGAACUUGAGUAUGGGAGAGGAAAGUGGAAUUCCGAGUGUAGGGGUGAAAUCCGUAGAUAUUCGGAGGAACACCAGUGGCGAAGGCGGCUUUCUGGACCAAUACUGACGCUGAGACGCGAAAGCGUGGGGAGCAAACAGGAUUAGAAACCCCAGUAGUCC
rnacentral:rRNA from 1 species